rnacentral:rRNA from 1 species
UACGUAGGUGGCAAGCGUUGUUCGGAAUUAUUGGGCGUAAAGGGCGCGUAGGCGGCUUGUUAAGUCAGCUGUGAAAGCCCGGGGCUCAACCCCGGAGGGUCAGUUGAUACUGGCAGGCUAGAGUACGGAAGAGGUAGCUGGAAUUCCUGGUGUAGCGGUGAAAUGCGCAGAUAUCAGGAGGAACACCGGUGGCGAAGGCGGGUCUCUGGGCCGAUACUGACGCUGAGGAGCGAAAGCGUGGGGAGCGAACAGG